rnacentral:tRNA from 1 species
UGGGGCGUCGCCAAGCGGCUAGGCACCUGGUUUUGAUCCAGGCAUACGUAGGUUCGAAUCCUACCGCCCCAG